UACGGAGGAUGCGAGCGUUAUCCGGAUUUAUUGGGUUUAAAGGGAGCGUAGGCGGUCUGAUAAGUUAGAGGUGAAAUCCCGGGGCUUAACUCCGGAAUUGCCUCUGAUACUGUUGGGCUAGAGAGUAGUUGCGGUAGGCGGAAUGUAUGGUGUAGCGGUGAAAUGCUUAGAGAUCAUACAGAACACCGAUUGCGAAGGCAGCUUACCAAACUAUAUCUGACGUUGAGGCACGAAAGCGUGGGGAGCAAACAGG
rnacentral:rRNA from 1 species